CAGCAGCCGCGGUAAUACGAAGGGGGCUAGCGUCGUUCGGAUUAACUGGGUGUAAAGGGCGCGUAGGCGGGUUUUUAAGUCAGAGGUGAAAUCCCAAGGCUCAACCUGGGAACUGCAUCUUAUAUUGGGUAACUGGAGUGCAGUAGAGGGUAGUGGAAUUUCCGGUGUAGCGGUGAAAUGCGUAGAUAUCGGAAGGAACACCAGUGGCGAAGGCGGCUACCUGGACUGAGACUGACACUGAGGCGCGAGAGCGUGGGGAGCAAACAGGAUUAGAUACCCCGGUAGUCCCUGUCUCUUAUAA
rnacentral:rRNA from 1 species